GGAGUAGUAGUCUGCUACUGAUCUUUUUUUUUUCUUUCAGAUUUCAUGCAUGCUGGUUUUGGUUCUUUUCUUUUCUCGAGCUGUUCUUCCUGUUUUCUUGCAAAGGCAUUAAAUUAAGGCAAAAAAAAUCUUGGAUCUUGGUUUCAUGGCCGCAUAUCGAUCCGUUCUCCAUGUAAUAUUGCGCUGCUUGAUUCAGAGGGAGAGAAGAGAGGACACAUCUGCGUCUCUUUUCGAUCUUGAUUCAGAGGGAGCUGAUCUUGUCUAAUCCAAUAAAUUUCGGUUUGAUUCUGCUGGUUCAGGUUCAGGUUGAUUUCUUGCCCGGCCAGCCGACGAAGAUUUGGUUGGUUAGUUUGCUCGCCGGCCGGCGGUGACAACGAGAGAGAGCACGCCGGUGCGGCGGUCACGGUGAGCCGGCCCGCGGCGGCGUACCUGCGUGCUUUCUCCCGUUGUCACUGCCAUACACACAUAUAUGCUCUCGCUCGCAUGCACAAGCUCAGCUUCUCCUCUCAGUCUCACUGGUGAGUAUACUUACUCAACUCAAUCACCAAUUCACCAUACUUAGCUAUAUAUAGUUAUAUGUACCCCCAUCCCCUAAAUGUUCUCUUAUUGUUUAUGCUGUUGUGACUAAUCAAUUUCAACCGCA
rnacentral:precursor_RNA from 1 species